rnacentral:rRNA from 1 species
CCUACGGGGUGCUGCAGUGGGGAAUAUUGGACAAUGGGCGAAAGCCUGAUCCAGCCAUGCCGCGUGUGUGAAGAAGGCCUUCGGGUUGUAAAGCACUUUCAGUGGGGAAGAAAGCCUUGGGGCUAAUACCCUCGAGGAAGGACAUCACCCACAGAAGAAGCACCGGCUAACUCCGUGCCAGCAGCCGCGGUAAUACGGAGGGUGCGAGCGUUAAUCGGAAUUACUGGGCGUAAAGCGCGCGUAGGCGGUCUGAUAAGCCGGUUGUGAAAGCCCCGGGCUCAACCUGGGAACGGCAUCCGGAACUGUCAGGCUAGAGUGCAGGAGAGGAAGGUAGAAUUCCCGGUGUAGCGGUGAAAUGCGUAGAGAUCGGGAGGAAUACCAGUGGCGAAGGCGGUCUUCUGGACUGACACUGACGCUGAGGUGCGAAAGCGUGGGUAGCAAACAGGAUUAGAUACCCGUGUAGUC